rnacentral:rRNA from 1 species
GCCCUACGGGACGCAGCAGUGGGGAAUAUUGGACAAUGGGGGCAACCCUGAUCCAGCAAUGCCGCGUGAGGGGAGAAGGCUUUCGGAUUGUAAACCUCUUUCUUAAGGGACGACCAUGACGGUACCUUCGGAGGAAGCUCCGGCUAACUACGUGCCAGCAGCCGCGGUAAUACGUAGGGGGCGAGCGUUGUCCGGAGUUAUUGGGCGUAAAGGGCGUGUAGGCGGCGGGGUAAG